GAUGAACGCUGGCGGCGUGCUUAACACAUGCAAGUCGAACGAAGAUAUUUAGAAUGAGAGCUUCGGCAGGAUUUUUAUCUAUCUUAGUGGCGGACGGGUGAGUAACGUGUGGGCAACCUGCCCUGUACUGUGGAAUAAUCAUUGGAAACGAUGACUAAUACCGCAUGUGGUCCUCGGAAGGCAUCUUCUGAGGAAGAAAGGAUUUAUUCGGUACAGGAUGGGCCCGCAUCUGAUUAGCUAGUUGGUGAGAUAACAGCCCACCAAGGCGACGAUCAGUAGCCGACCUGAGAGGGUGAUCGGCCACAUUGGGACUGAGACACGGCCCAAACUCCUACGGGAGGCAGCAGUGGGGAAUAUUGCACAAUGGGCGAAAGCCUGAUGCAGCAACGCCGCGUGAAGGAUGAAGGGUUUCGGCUCGUAAACUUCUAUCAAUAGGGAAGAAACAAAUGACGGUACCUAAAUAAGAAGCCCCGGCUAACUACGUGCCAGCAGCCGCGGUAAUACGUAGGGGGCAAGCGUUAUCCGGAAUUACUGGGUGUAAAGGGAGCGUAGGCGGCAUGGUAAGCCAGAUGUGAAAGCCUUGGGCUUAACCCGAGGAUUGCAUUUGGAACUAUCAAGCUAGAGUACAGGAGAGGAAAGCGGAAUUCCUAGUGUAGCGGUGAAAUGCGUAGAUAUUAGGAAGAACACCAGUGGCGAAGGCGGCUUUCUGGACUGAAACUGACGCUGAGGCUCGA
rnacentral:rRNA from 1 species